GACGAACGCUGGCGGCGUGCUUAACACAUGCAAGUCGAACGGAAAGGCCCUGCUUUUGUGGGGUGCUCGAGUGGCGAACGGGUGAGUAACACGUGAGUAACCUGCCCUUGACUUUGGGAUAACUUCAGGAAACUGGGGCUAAUACCGGAUAGGAGCUCCUGCCGCAUGGUGGGGGUUGGAAAGUUUCGGCGGUUGGGGAUGGACUCGCGGCUUAUCAGCUUGUUGGUGGGGUAGUGGCUUACCAAGGCUUUGACGGGUAGCCGGCCUGAGAGGGUGACCGGCCACAUUGGGACUGAGAUACGGCCCAGACUCCUACGGGAGGCAGCAGUGGGGAAUAUUGCACAAUGGGCGGAAGCCGGAUGCAGCAACGCCGCGUGCGGGAUGACGGCCUUCGGGUUGUAAACCGCUUUCGCCUGUGACGAAGCGUGAGUGACGGUAAUGGGUAAAGAAGCACCGGCUAACUACGUG
rnacentral:rRNA from 1 species